UAGUGACACAUCAAUUUUUAUUGAACAUGAGUGUUUGGCUGGUCACACUGGUCCCAGCAUUUCAGAAUGACUGAGUGUCACUGCGCUGCAUGGUGCAAGCAGGAAAAAGGCGACCAUACACUUACAAUGAGGGUUUAUCAAAUACAACUAAAAAACCCAUAAGGGAAAUACCGAAAGAAACAGGGACAAAUAAGGGAUUAACUAAAACUAUGAAACGAAACAAAGUAAGGAACAAGCAAACACUGGGAACAGGACUGGGCAAAGCAGCAGAGUAACAACCACACUGUAACAUAGGCACAAUGACUCAGCAAAGAACACAAAGAGGGAAGCGCUAAAAUGCAAAACUAACAAGACAUGAUGCAGGGCAGAUGGAAUGACACAAUUAACCAAUCACGGGAGAUGCAAGACAACAAGCAACAGCUGGAGGAACUAACAUUAAUGAACACAGAACCAGGGAACUGUAACAAUCACAAAAACUAGGAACAGGGAUCAGUCCAAAUAAACAGAUGAGGCUAACAAUUCUGGGAAAGGGACAGGAAGCAGCAUACAAGCAGAAUGCAAAAUAUCAAGGAAGAAGCAGGGCAAACCAAAGAAGAACAAACACAAAGACGGGGAAGUAAGAAAACCAGGAAUAAACUGAAAUAAAAUUACAAAAAGAGCUUCCAGAAGUCCUUCCCAAUCAGACCCGCUGGCGUUCUCUACCAGCAGGAGAAGCCCAGCUUGAAAACCUCAUCGAAUGUCCUCUAUGAAGAUUUCAGAUGGGAUGCAAGCGACACAAUGGAAGCCUUGAAUGUGAGAGGUAGUACUAUGUGUUUUGCAAGGUAUUUACAGAGGAACAUGUGGAAUGUGUGCUUUGAGAGACUCACUGUUUGUGAGGAAGAACCUCACCUUAUGUUGGUCAGCUGAGGGUGGGGAAGUUCACUCUACAGCAUGAUCCUGAACUUUCAGGCUUCAAAAGGUCUGUCUCAUUAAUGACUGCGCCACCUGCUGCUCCUGGUCCAAUGCUGAAGUUGUUCUGACUGAAGUUUACCCACAGGUGACAAAAACUCAAAAGUUCAUUGGCUAGGCUAUCUUGGAAGUACAGAGGAAGAUUGUUUCCGAAAAAAAUUGUUGCGCCUUUGUUAUAUUAAUGAACACAUGUUCUCUGGGUUAAUUGUUUAAUAUAAGAGGAUUAUAAAGAACAUCCUUUAACGUCUUGCGAUUAUUUUUUUUUUCCUUCCCGUGUUCUAACAAACAUCGGGGCUGUGGAGCUUAGGAAUGUUUCAAAAUGUCUUAUUUUGCCUCAUUUUGUAAAUACGCUUCGCCGCCUUCUUUGCACAUUAUGUAUAUUAUCAUAAUUUUGAAAGGGAUUUGGAACAACUUUCCGGAACAACUUCCCAUAAACUUGGUUUCGACAUUGGCAGGGACCAAAUCAGGCCCAAACCCCCGCCCCCCUGAACACACACAACUCUCACAAUAUGUCCCUACAAUCCAUACCCAAAUCUACUCCCUUGGACGUCACCUUUAUAAUGAUAAAAUUCUAUUGACAUUUACAAUUAUCUAAAUAUUGUACCUGGCUGAACAACUCGUUCACAUUUUUAAUAUUUCCAAAUUUUCAUUAUUCAAGUAAAAUUCCACUUGUUGAGCCGACUGAGCAGCAAAGAUGAAUGCACGUUUUAGACAGCCUGCAUGUUUUAAAUGUAACUCACACCGUGCCCCAGCCGCCUGGCACGGCCAGCCUGCCGCUUUACCGUCCUGCUGCAGCGGCAUCGUGCCUCUUAAAGCACCGCUUGCCAGGAGCAGCUUCCCCACCGCACCGGAAUGCUGUCAGAUCCUCCAUCUUCUUAAGCUCAUUUACUGGAGGGUGUCCAGCUCUUCAGAAACACUGAACAUCUCUUCGGACCGCUUCCUGCCCUCGGCCAGUGCUGUGUGCUCCCUGAAGCUCCCGUACUAAGGUAUUUACACACAAAAGCCCGUGGCUGGGCCGAGCAUCGCUUCAAAGAUGUAUAAAUAUUCGCUGAAUGUCAGUGACAGUGGAGCUCUAUCUAUCGAUGCGCCAGACUGAUGAAAAACACUGUUCACUUUGCAGCGUUUCUGUAUUUCACCCUGCGAAAAUGCACUGUGUAGGCUACUAUAAAUGCUGCAAAAACUCGGCUUGAGAGUGUUUCAGAUGUGCUUCAGGAUAUUGACAGCGUCAUGCUGUUUCUUAUAUUUGCCACUGGAAUCUACAUAAAAUAACCGUCAUUAGUAAUAAAUUUAGUAUUUCUUACUUUAGUUUUAUUUGAUUCUUAGCCUUCACGGAGACUGUACUUGACCUAAUUAUAACACCAGGGCCUGAUUGGGAGCUGAGCGUUAAACUGAUUUCCUGCAGGCCAGACCCUCUCUUUAGACAUAAAUAUCACACUAAAUUGGAUGUUCUUUUAGAGAAAUGAGAACCUCGAUUGACAGAGAACAGCUGAGAAUACAGCUGAGAGAAUACGCAUGGUUAAGGUUUGCAGAAUCGGGAAUUCGCAUGAAUGCCUCUCUUCACAAUUACUCUGAAAGAUUAACACUGAUUAAUAAAAACUGCAUUAAACGGAUCCUUCAGUGACAUCUGAGGUUGACAAUCUCCAGUAAACUAGGGCUUGCUUCUCUGUUUAAUGCAAUUUUAAUGUAGUGUAACACAGUUUUCCUUCUGUGGCCAGAAACAGGACUAGAUAUGGUUUCGAUGAAUAAGCAACCGUUUUUAUUCGGGAGAUGAUGUUCAAAGCUUGUUGUUAUUGGGAAUAUUUUGUAAAUCUUUGGAUACAUCAUGCUUCUUUGGACUGGAGAGCUCUUAAUUUAUUACACGGUAAAGUUUCCCAGAUCACGCUGAAUAGGGUGGUCCCACAGGGUUGCAUAAUCUCUCGGUCUGACACAGGGCGUCUAAAGACAGGACAUGAAAAGGAGCCUCAGCUUGAUUCUGACUGUGCGGAAUGAGAGAAGUUUGGCCAUGGGCGUACGUGAUUGUGCAGGCGUUCACAUCCAGGCUGACCACAGGCCAAGUCCUUACCCCUGAAACAGACCAUUAAUUGUCAGACCUGCUAAUCGGGAUGCAGACAUAUCUCCCGCACGACUCAAAGGAUCCUGGGAAGGCGUGAUCAUCUUACUCAGUAUGCAUUUGGCCGUGUUGCCAUUCAGUGUGGCUGCAAAGCUUCCGGGUCCUUCCGUUUUGUGCCAGGCACGACUGCUCGUCUGAUGGGAGAUUCUGAAACACUUUUUUUUUGAAGGACCUCUAGAGGUUAGUGACUUGGUCUUGUAAUCCAACAUCCCUACAGAAGACCUCGUGUCCUUCAGCAGGGCUUCGAGCACAAAUCCACACGCUGGUGCCAGGUAAACUUGUAAGCUCUGUAAAUAGCCGUCCUUCACCUCCCACGCUGCUCCAUCUCUCCCCUGGUUUUUUCAAGCUCACUCUCAGCAGUUCAGGAGGUCCUUUUGAGGAACAGGAGGGAAGGAACUCUGGGGUAACCCCUGUUCAUUGCCAGGCAAGCUUGCAAAACAACUUGAUGACACUGGUGAUGCAAGUGAGGUGAGGUGGGUGAGAGCUGGGAAAAAUAAAAUCCAUACUGGCAUCAUUGCUCCCAUUUGGGGAGGCUGAAGGGGCAGUUAGUGAAAUCACUAUGGAGUCCAUAAUUGUACAAACACACUGGAAUUAGAUAAAUAUGCUUUUAUUGUCAAAUAAUCAUUGGCAAUUAUGGGGAGAACAUGCAGCGGGUUUUGUAAGGUAGGUGUAAUAUCAGUUUGUUAAAAAUGCACAGGAGUUUGCUAGGGUAUGGAGAUUCAGGGUCUAGAAGUAAAGCAACACUUCAUAUGAAUUAUCAUCAUCACAGACACACACAAGUUUAUAUUCAUAUGUUUGUAGGGACUUUACAUCUCUAAGGAAAAAACCCUGAUCCCAACAUGACGACCUUAACCCCUACCCAGUGUCAGGGUUAAGUUGUGUGUGUUCCACUCUGUGUCCCUUCCCUGUUUGACCAGCAGCUGUUGCUGGUCAUCCCGUCCCUCCUGUUGUCAGUCGUCGUGUUUUUCCCUGCUACCUGUCGGCCGAAUGGCUCAAUGUAUUAAGCAUGUGGCUCUCUGAACUCCUCUGUCUUGUUUUAAAUACCACCUGCUCUGUUUUUGUAGAUUUUGUUCCAUUGUUUUCCUAUUGUAUCAGUUUUCUAGUCCCUGUGUUUUCAUUUGUAUCCGGUUUUGGUUUUUGCCCUUGUGCCCUUGA